CCUACGGGAGGCAGCAGUGGGGAAUUUUGGACAAUGGGCGAAAGCCUGAUCCAGCAAUGCCGCGUGAGUGAAGAAGGCCUUCGGGUUGUAAAGCUCUUUUGUCAGGGAAGAAACGGUGUGGGCUAAUAUCCUGCACUAAUGACGGUACCUGAAGAAUAAGCACCGGCUAACUACGUGCCAGCAGCCGCGGUAAUACGUAGGGUGCAAGCGUUAAUCGGAAUUACUGGGCGUAAAGCGUGCGCAGGCGGUUUUGUAAGUCUGUCGUGAAAUCCCCGGGCUCAACCUGGGAAUUGCGAUGGAGACUGCAAGGCUAGAAUCUGGCAGAGGGGGGUAGAAUUCCACGUGUAGCAGUGAAAUGCGUAGAGAUGUGGAGGAACACCGAUGGCGAAGGCAGCCCCCUGGGUCAAGAUUGACGCUCAUGCACGAAAGCGUGGGGAGCAAACAGGAUUAGAUACCCUGGUAGUCCACGCCCUAAACGAUGUCUACUAGUUGUCGGGUUUUAAUAACUUGGUAACGCAGCUAACGCGUGAAGUAGACCGCCUGGGGGAGUACGGUCGCGAGAUAAACGUACGAAGAAGUAGAGNGNGNGAGNGCGACGACGACGACGAGGAGAGG
rnacentral:rRNA from 1 species